GUCAUAUGCUUGUCUCAAAGAUUAAGCCAUGCAUGUCUCAGUACAAGCCAAAUUAAGGUGAAACCGCGAAAGGCUCAUUAAAUCAGUUAUGGUUCCUUAGAUCGUACCCACAAUUACUUGGAUAACUGUGGUAAUUCUAGAGCUAAUACAUGCAAACAGAACUCCGACCGGAGACGGGAGGAGUGCUUUUAUUAGAUCAAAACCAAUCGGUGGCGAGUUCGCUCGUCAUCGUACAACUUGGUGACUCUGAAUAACUUUACGCUGAUCGCACGGUCAUCGCACCGGCGACGCAUCUUUCAAAUGUCUGCCUUAUCAACUGUCGAUGGUAGGUUCUGCGCCUACCAUGGUUGUAACGGGUAACGGGGAAUCAGGGUUCGAUUCCGGAGAGGGAGCCUGAGAAACGGCUACCACAUCCAAGGAAGGCAGCAGGCGCGCAAAUUACCCACUCCCGGCACGGGGAGGUAGUGACGAAAAAUAACGAUACGGGACUCAUCCGAGGCCCCGUAAUCGGAAUGAGUACACUCUAAACCCUUUAACGAGGAUCAAUUGGAGGGCAAGUCUGGUGCCAGCAGCCGCGG
rnacentral:rRNA from 1 species